GAGAACUGCAGGGCCGAGCCCAGCGCACCCCGCCGCGUCCCCCGUGCCCGCCGUGCCCGCCGCGCCUGCCGCGGCCGCGGCAGCGCAGCCUCCCGCCGGUUGUAUGUUCCAGGCCUCAAUGAGGAGUCCAAGCAUGGAGCCAUUCAAGCAGCAGAAGGUGGAGGACUUUUAUGACAUUGGAGAGGAGCUGGGGAGUGGCCAGUUUGCCAUCGUGAAGAAGUGCCGGGAGAAGAGCACAGGGCUUGAGUAUGCAGCCAAGUUCAUCAAGAAGCGGCAGAGCCGGGCGAGCCGGCGCGGUGUGAGCCGGGAGGAGAUCGAGCGGGAGGUGAGCAUCCUGCGGCAGGUGCUGCACCACAACGUCAUCACGCUGCACGACGUCUACGAGAACCGCACCGACGUGGUGCUCAUCCUUGAGCUAGUGUCUGGAGGAGAGCUCUUCGAUUUCCUGGCCCAGAAGGAGUCACUGAGUGAGGAGGAGGCCACCAGCUUCAUUAAGCAGAUCCUGGAUGGGGUGAACUACCUUCACACAAAGAAAAUUGCUCACUUUGAUCUCAAGCCAGAAAACAUUAUGUUGUUAGACAAGAAUAUUCCCAUUCCACACAUCAAGCUGAUUGACUUUGGUCUGGCUCACGAAAUAGAAGAUGGAGUUGAAUUUAAGAAUAUUUUUGGGACGCCGGAAUUUGUUGCUCCAGAAAUUGUGAACUACGAACCCCUGGGUCUGGAGGCUGACAUGUGGAUUCAGAGCUCGAUGACUCCAAACACACCCUGGGCUGCUGCUGAAGAGCGGGAUGGAGAGGGGUGUGGAGCAUGAGACGGCAUCCAGGGUCUGCUGUGGAGGAGGAGCAUAGGCGUCAUCACCUACAUCCU
rnacentral:sRNA from 1 species